CAAGAACAAGCGGACAUCUCGCUCGUUUUUGCCCAGAACGUGCAAGUUGUGGAAUGAGCUACCUUUUCUUUUGAGGUGUUUCUCUUCCGCUAUGACAUGGGGUUCUUCAAGAAGCAGGUAUUUAGGGCUCUCAAAGGUUGGCAACGCAUAAGUGGCUCCUCUGAUGUUGCUUAUGCCCAUGGGCGGCGAUGACCACUUCCCAUCAGGCAGCUCGUC